UCAGUGUCACGUGAAAGCAGGGUUGAAACUUACAGGCAAAUCAGGGGGAGAAAAUAGAAAUGCAUUUGGGCUUUUGUGUCUCUUUCCUUUCCUUGUAGGACGUGUGCCGCACUAGUUCCUGCCCCUCUCCCAUGGUCACCUGUUUGCUAAAGUCAAUACGUACACAAAAUCCUAUAAAAAAAUUUUUUUUUUUUUUGGGUUUACGUACUUUUAGCUUUUUAACGUGUUUACAAAUCAAUAGUAAUCUGUGGUUUUACAAAUCAAUAAUAGGUUCUGAUUGACAUUAUUAAUUAUGCUCCAAAUUCGCUGCAGGUGCUGGAAAAGUUACCUAAAUAGUGCUUGUGCGGGCAAGAUGACAGAGCCGAGAGUUGUCCCCGUCGAGCUUCUUGCCUGCGACCACAAGGGGAAAUAGAAGGCACCAGGUCCAGCCUCGAGAUUCUCUCAAAAUGACUUUUGUUUGGGAGUCUAGAUGAGAUAGGAGGCAGAUAAGAAUUUGUUACUUUUGAUUGUGAAAAUGGGAGGCGUUUAUAGUCCAAAGUAUUAGUACGGAUUUCGGAAAAUCAGGGUGAUUGAUAGCCAUAUCGGCCCUUAGACGUAAUUUCGGAUUGCUAUCACAUCAAGCGGCUGAAUAAUGUGUCAACCACAAUAUGACUAGAUGUGCAGCUCCACCAUGUCGAGACCAAAAAUGAUAUGGGAUAGCCAGCUUUGAGAAACAGGGUAUUUGUUAGUCGAGGUGGUGGCCAAGGCCUCGCAGCACUAAAUUUUUCUUCUUCCUCUAAGCUAUAAGUUAUGACUUUAGGAUGAUGCAGAGACAUAGAUAGAACUACGG
rnacentral:lncRNA from 1 species